CCAAUAUGGUAGCUUAUCGCUUAUUAAAGUUCUUUCUCUACCAUUGCCUGCUUGGCCUUUUGUCUUGUGGCGAACAGCUUAAGCCCUUCCUUGCUCGUUGUCUCUUUGAGGAAUGCUGGGAUUUGCCCCUGGAAUUUAUGGAAGACUGCAUGCAGGGGUUGGUGACUUUCAGGAAUGUUUCCAUCACCUUCUCUUGGGAGGAGUGGGCGUGUCUGGACCCUGCUCAGAGAGAUUGUACAAGAGUGUGAGGGUGGAGAACGGCAACAACCUGGUUUCAUGGUGUAAGGACAUCAUUCUUCCUAAACUCAAGAUUUCCAUAUUCCUUUGGGUGCUACAUUAUGACUCUGGGGGAAAUUAUGACUGGCUUGCCAGUAUGUCUGUUUCCUAUUCUCUGCAGCUUUAGGUGCUUCGUGGAAUUAGAAACGGGCAGGUUCACGUGGCCUGUUUCAUAAUGUCCGGAAUGCUGGGACUUUGAUCUUACCCAUUCUUUGGGUGAUCUGCAUAUCCUUCUGUGGCCGUUGGUUUUAAAACUUCUGUUUAUAUUAAAUCUCCUUAAGAGUGGUAAAAAUUCUGACUUUGAACAUCUGUCCCAUGGUGAUUGCCUCUGAG
rnacentral:lncRNA from 1 species